rnacentral:misc_RNA from 1 species
AGGUCCUACUGCACAACUGCUGCAGCUAUCCAACCUAUUGUAGCAUCUGUGGUUGAUAGUUAGAAUCCUAGUAUUAACCUAAUGUAACUUUUGAACUUGUAGGAAAACACAGAAUAGUGAAAUUGAGGUUUAUCACAAGCAUAUGCACAUGCCAGUUAUCAAACACUUCUUUACAAAAUAGCAGUAUGAGAAACAAGAUAUGCCACAGGGACAUCUAGUAAAGAGAAUGGUAAGCUAUA